GAUGAAGAACGCAGCGAAAUGCGAUAAGUAAUGUGAAUUGCAGAAUUCAGUGAAUCAUCGAAUCUUUGAACGCACAUUGCGCCCGCCAGUAUUCUGGCGGGCAUGCCUGUCUGAGCGUCAUUUCAACCCUCAUGCCCCUAGGGCGUGGUGUUGGGGAUCGGCCAAAGCCCGCGAGGGACGGCCGGCCCCUAAAUCUAGUGGCGGACCCGUCGUGGCCUCCUCUGCGAAGUAGUGAUAUUCCGCAUCGGAGAGCGACGAGCCCCUGCCGUUAAACCCCCAACUUUCCAAGGUUGACCUCAGAUAAGGUAGGAAUACCCGCUGAACUUAAGCAUAUCAAUAAGCGGAGGA
rnacentral:misc_RNA from 1 species